UGACCUCAAAUCAGGUAGGACUACCCGCUGAACUUAAGCAUAUCAAUAAGCGGAGGAAAAGAAACUAACAAGGAUUCCCCUAGUAACUGCGAGUGAAGCGGGAAAAGCUCAAAUUUAAAAUCUGGCAGUCUUUGGCUGUCCGAGUUGUAAUCUAGAGAAGUGUUAUCCGCGCUGGACCGUGUACAAGUCUCCUGGAAUGGAGCAUCAUAGAGGGUGAGAAUCCCGUCUUUGACAUGGACUGCCAGGGCUUUGUGAUGCGCUCUCAAAGAGUCGAGUUGUUUGGGAAUGCAGCUCAAAAUGGGUGGUAAAUUCCAUCUAAAGCUAAAUAUUGGCGAGAGACCGAUAGCGAACAAGUACCGUGAGGGAAAGAUGAAAAGAACUUUGGAAAGAGAGUUAAACAGUACGUGAAAUUGCUGAAAGGGAAACGCUUGAAGUCAGUCGCGUCGUCCAGGGAUCAACCUUGCUUUUGCUUGGUGCACUUUCUGGUUCGAUGGGUCAGCAUCAAUUUUGACUGUUGGAAAAAGGUCAAGGGAAUGUGGCAUCUUUGGAUGUGUUAUAGCCCUUGGUCACAUACAAUGGUUGGGAUUGAGGAACUCAGCACGCCGCAAGGCCGGGUUUUAACUUUAAACCACGUACGUGCUUAGGAUGC
rnacentral:rRNA from 1 species